CGUAAGACGAGGAUAACGACUGGAAACGGUCGCUAAAACUGGAUAGGAUCAUUUGAGGCAUCUCGAAUAAUUUAAAGGGGCUUUCAAGCCACACUUAGAGAAAGGCCUGCGGCGCAUUAGCUAGUGGUGGGGUAGAGGCCUACCAAGGCCGAUGAUGCGUAGCCGGACUGAGAGGUCGAACGGCCACAUUGGGACCUGAGACACGGCCCAAACUCCUACGGGAGGCAGCAGUAGGGAAUUUCGGCAAUGGGGGAAACCCUGACCGAGCAACGCCGCGUGAAUGAAAGACGUAUUUCGGUAUGUAAAGUUCUUUUAUUAAGGAAGAAUAUCACGGAUAGGAAAUGAUCUGUGAGUGACGGUACUUAAUGAGUAAGCCCCGGCUAACUAUGUGCCAGCCGCCGC
rnacentral:rRNA from 1 species